rnacentral:rRNA from 1 species
GACGAGCGCUGGCGGCGUGCUUAACACAUGCAAGUCGAACGGAAAGGCCCUGCUUUUGUGGGGUGCUCGAGUGGCGAACGGGUGAGUAACACGUGAGUAACCUGCCCUUGACUUUGGGAUAACUUCAGGAAACUGGGGCUAAUACCGGAUAGGAGCUCCUGCUGCAUGGUGGGGGUUGGAAAGUUUCGGCGGUUGGGGAUGGACUCGCGGCUUACCAGCUUGUUGGUGGGGUAGUGGCUUACCAAGGCUUUGACGGGUAGCCGGCCUGAGAGGGUGACCGGCCACAUUGGGACUGAGAUACGGCCCAGACUCCUACGGGAGGCAGCAGUGGGGAAUAUUGCACAAUGGGCGGAAGCCUGAUGCAGCAACGCCGCGUGCGGGAUGACGGCCUUCGGGUUGUAAACCGCUUUCGCCUGUGACGAAGCGUGAGUGACGGUAAUGGGUAAAGAAGCACCGGCUAACUACGUG